rnacentral:rRNA from 1 species
AUGGCCGUGUUCUUUGCGAAGAUGACAAGCACCCAAUGGAGUGAGAGGGUGAACCAUAUGCUGAAGAUAUGCGUGCCGCCUGCCAGCCCGAUGCACAUGUUUGUCAGGCAGUAUAUGAGACUUCAGUUUGACAGGGAGGGAGAGGAGAGCUAUGAGGAGAAAAAAAACUAUGAUUGGUGGUGUUGUGAGGAGUACAAACCUUGA